CCUACGGGUGGCUGCAGUGGGGAAUAUUGGACAAUGGGCGAAAGCCUGAUCCAGCCAUGCCGCGUGUGUGAAGAAGGCCUUCGGGUUGUAAAGCACUUUCAGUGGGGAAGAAAGCCUUGGGGCUAAUACCCUCGAGGAAGGACAUCACCCACAGAAGAAGCACCGGCUAACUCCGUGCCAGCAGCCGCGGUAAUACGGAGGGUGCGAGCGUUAAUCGGAAUUACUGGGCGUAAAGCGCGCGUAGGCGGUCUGAUAAGCCGGUUGUGAAAGCCCCGGGCUCAACCUGGGAACGGCAUCCGGAACUGUCAGGCUAGAGUGCAGGAGAGGAAGGUAGAAUUCCCGGUGUAGCGGUGAAAUGCGUAGAGAUCGGGAGGAAUACCAGUGGCGAAGGCGGCCUUCUGGACUUACACUGACGCUGAGGUGCGAAAGCGUGGGUAGCAAACAGGAUUAGAUACCCCGGUAGUC
rnacentral:rRNA from 1 species